rnacentral:rRNA from 1 species
GACGAACGCUGGCGGCGUGCCUAACACAUGCAAGUCGAGCGGGGUCCAUCCGGUAGCAAUACCGGGGAAGACCUAGCGGCGAACGGGUGAGUAACACGUGAGAAACCUGCCCCGAAGUCUGGGAUAACCCGAGGAAACUCGAGCUAAUACCGGAUGUCUUCUUCUGAUCGCAUGGUCGGAUGAAGAAAGAUUUAUCGCUUCGGGAGGGUCUCGCGGCCUAUCAGCUAGUUGGCGGGGUAACGGCCCACCAAGGCGUCGACGGGUAGCUGGUCUGAGAGGACGAUCAGCCACACUGGGACUGAGACACGGCCCAGACUCCUACGGGAGGCAGCAGUGGGGAAUAUUGCGCAAUGGGCGAAAGCCUGACGCAGCAACGCCGCGUGCGGGAUGAAGGCCUUCGGGUUGUUAAACCGGCUUUCACGUGGGGACGGAAGUUACA